AACGUAGGAGGCGAGCGUUAUCCGGAGUUACUGGGCGUAAAGCGCGCGCAGGCGGUUCGUUAAGUGGCUGGUGAAAGCGCCUGGCUUAACCGGGCGAGGACCGGUCAGACUGGCGGACUGGAGAGCAGCAGAGGGACGUGGAAUUCCGGGUGUAGCGGUGAAAUGUGCAGAGAUCCGGAGGAACACCAGAGGUGAAAGCGGCGUCCUGGGCUGCAUCUGACGCUGAGGCGCGAAAGCGUGGGGAGCGAACGGG
rnacentral:rRNA from 1 species